rnacentral:misc_RNA from 1 species
GAAGGCUCGAGGGUGGCAGCCGUCGAGCCUUCGACUUUUUGGCGG